CGGGGCGCACCGCGGCCAUCGCUAGGAAGAAGGGAGCCCGUCGCCGUCCUCGGUGCCCGUCAUCCGCUCCGUCCUCAUCCUCCGGCCGUGCGCCCCAGCACGGGAGUCCUUGGAUGCCCGCGGGCUGGUACACCAGCCCGGGCCGGCUACGGUCAGAGUGACCGGAGCUGGGGGACGGGUCUGCGGCGUCUCACCGCGACCCGUUCUGUACCGGGCCCAGAUUCUCCCCACUGGGGACCCCUUUGUUAGGUGCGCGUUGUUCCACAGGACCUCCUGGCCCAGCGACUGGCAGUGACUCCCGGAUUCUCAGGUGGCUUGGAGGAGCCUCCGCUUUUCCUCCACCAGGAAGAGGCCCAUCUUCUCAAACUCCACCGUGAUGCACUCUCUUCGCUUGUUCACCUUGUCCUGUGGGAGCAGGAGCCCUCUGGAUAUGAGUUUCUUUUAGGUCAACAGAAGAGACAUUUUUCCUCCCCUGAAGCUCCCUGUUGGAGACAGGAGGAAUCCUAUGGCAGCAUUGAAUGGAGACAGGAUGUGGAAACUCAGGAAGAUGCAGCGGUGACAGGAAGGACAGCUCCGGCACUCACCUGCCACUUGGCUAAGGUCUGCUCCUCCUUGGCCCGGAGCUUCUGCGUCUUCUUCAUCUCCUCCUGAAGAUAUUCCAUGUCCUCUGCCAGCUUCAGCUGUGGGAUGCACAGGACCGCAGGAUUUGGGGCCAGUGGUUCCCUCAACCCCCACCCAAAUCUGGACUGUGCUCUCUGAAGUGACAUCCACCCCAGACACACACCUAAGAGGUGUAGGGGAUCAGAACACAUCACCCCAAAAUAUGCCACUUUCGCAUAAGGAUUAUUUUGAGCUAAAGGCCUUAAAAAAGGAAAAAGAGCCAGCAUGAGAUUCUCUCUGACUCUCCCCCUUUUCUUACUUGAAGUAGGAGGAAAAAACCCAUCACACGGAAGAUGUCCUCCCUAUACCAGGAGGAAGGUGAUGUUAUCAUCAAAGGCGGGAAGUUGAGGCUGAGACAAAUCUGUACAAACCUUGUUAAACUAACCCUUCUCCUCCCGGUCUCUUCACCCAAUUAACUACCCUAGCCCAAGCCCCUUUGCCUUGUCACUUGUCACAAUUUUCCCCUUUGUCCAACUCCAUGUAUGAGUGUUUGAUUCUAACACGCUUCUUUGGGGCCUCAUACCCUUAGGAAGGGCUCCCUAAUUUAUUUAUGUGACAUUAAACUUGAAUAAAUUUGCAUGCUUUUCUCCUG